rnacentral:rRNA from 1 species
CAGUAGCCGCGGGAACACGUAGGCAGCGAGCGUUGUUCGGAAUUACUGGGCGUAAAGAGUGUGUAGGCGGUGCUCUAAGUUUGGUGUGAAAUCUCCCGGCUUAACUGGGAGGGUGCGCCGAAGACUGGAGUGCUCGAACGUGGGAGAGGAAAGCGGAAUUCCUGGUGUAGCGGUGAAAUGCGUAGAUAUCAGGAGGAACACCUGCGGUGUAGACGGCUUUCUGGACCAUUGUUGACGCUGAGACACGAAAGCGUGGGUAGCAAACAGGAUUAGAUACCCCAGUAGUCCCUGUCUCUUAUAC